UUUUCCUUCACUUGCUACUAACAACUAAUUCUCUUUUGCGGCAGCUUGCCUGUGAAUAAAUAAGCCAUCAGGGAAGCUAUAAACUGAGGCUUAUGAAUAUGUGCUGUUCCUCACCCCAGGGUUCACCCAGCCAAAUUUCCAGGAAUUCUAGCUUUCUGGCCGUCCAAGUAGAUAUGUGACAGACAGUAUCUAGGUAUCCUGCUACCUUCUGGAGUCUGGGUGUGCUCCUGUUUUACCUGGUCUGUGGAGGCUUCCCCUUAAAGAACGAGGAUGAAACUACUGAAAGAGACAUGACAUACCGGUAGAUAAUUAUCUGUGUAGAGGUGAUGAAAUGCAGCAGCAUCACAUUUAGACCUGUCUAAUUAAGAUGUAAAAUUUCCAUUUAAACACAUUGGUUUUAAUGAUUUGUUUGUUUUUCUUUGAAUUUGAAUUUCUUUCUCAUCACUGGACACAAUUUAUGAGAUCAUGGUGCCUCACAAAAGACCCUUACUAGCGUGGGACUUUGGAGUAUAAUGUCAGCCACGAGUGGUUUAUGGAGGAACUUCAGGAAAAUGUCCAGGUAGACUGCAAGAACACUGUGGAAAACAUCAAAAUCACCUAUCAAGGAAUGCACACUUCUGUGUAUGAUUACACAAAAUAUUGUGUAAGCUGUAAAUAUAUUUAGCUAACAUUUAACCCUUAUCUAAUCCUUUCAUAUGUACAGUAUAUAGUUGAAUGAAGACUACACUAAUUUUUAUAUAAAACAAGUUACAUUACACAGGUAAUUGUACAGUUUUAGAAUGUGUAGAAAUCUUUACUGCUAACAUUUUUAUCAUGUUAACAGAAAUAUUUUAGAUGUGGAUACAAAAAAAAGAGGUCCCCUGCCCAAUUAGCAUGGUUCAAGUUGUAUAGGGGAUGCAUCUCAGGUAGCAGAGGAGAUUAUGACACCAGAAAUUGGUUGAAAAAGUGUAUUUGUGACUUCUAGUAAAACUGCUGGUUGGAUAGGUGGAAAAGAGCACCCGUAGAAAACUUCAUAGAAUUUGUAAUGGUUUUAAUGGUUAUAAUGGGAAUGGUAUUGGUUUUAACACAAACUGUAAUGGUCCCUGUGCAUGUCUACUGGUAAUUUGUUAUCUUCUAUUGGUGGCAUGUUAUGUCUAGUGGAUGCCAUUAAAGACCAAUAAUGGUAAUGGUUUUAAUUGUUAGCUGAUUGGUUUGUACUGGUAUUUGUAGUGGAAACAUGAGCAUUUCUCUGAUGGUUUCUAUUAUCUAUUGUAUUUUCCCAAGCAGGGAGUAUUUUUAAUCUGUAUCUUAUUACUUAGAAAAAAUUAAGCACGAAACAGUAUACACGUUUGAAAAUAUAGGGAGGUCAAACAGCGUAAUAUAAUUUAGCUAUAAGAUCAUCAUGCACCAAAAAUAAUGAAAAUACUUAAUGAGGAGAUUUCCACAAACAAGUAAUCAGACUUUGCCUACUAAUAAAAAUAAAAUCGUCAUUAAAAUAUUAUGAUGCUAUGGUCUAGCACUAAAGAACAUAAUAUCCUUUAUUUAUGACUGUGCUUUGUUCAUUCGUCCACCUUUUUGCGUCAGACUUUGAAGCACAAGGUUCAUCUGCAAAGCCGAUAAAUGCAUUUGCCUUUUGCGUCAGCAAAUGGAAGAAGAUUCUUCUUCUUCUUCUUCUUCUUCUUUUACAUCACAAAAACCUGCAGUUUUAACAGGGGUGUGUAGACUAUUUAUACCCAUUGCAGAUGUUUGUAUUGCUUUCUGAUAACUAUUAAAAGUGUGUGUGUGUGUGUGUGUGUGUGUGUGUGUGUGUGUGUGUGUGUGUGUAUUAUCAUCAUACUUUAUCACUGUCCCUGAUGCAGUUGUUAUUGCUCACUUGAAAAAAAAGAAAAAAAAAAA
ensembl:lncRNA